UACGGAGGAUGCGAGCGUUAUCCGGAUUUAUUGGGUUUAAAGGGUGCGUAGGCGGAUUUUUAAGUCAGCGGUAAAAUGUCCGGGCUCAACCCGGGCCGGCCGUUGAAACUGGGGAUCUUGAGUGGGCGAGAAGUAUGCGGAAUGCGUGGUGUAGCGGUGAAAUGCAUAGAUAUCACGCAGAACUCCGAUUGCGAAGGCAGCGUACCGGCGCCCGACUGACGCUGAGGCACGAAAGCGUGGGGAUCGAACAGG
rnacentral:rRNA from 1 species